rnacentral:lncRNA from 1 species
UUUGUAUGAUUCUUUUCCUUAGUAGAAAAAGUGGCAGGGUCACCAUCAUCUUCCUUCCAAUGAGGAGGGAAAGGGAGCCAUUUAUCACAAUUUCUUCAAUAUGGAUCCUCAUAAAUGUGACUUAUACCAGUACCUCCUCAGGCUAUUGUUCCAUCCAUUUGUGCUGCAGAUGGCUUUCAUAUGGUCUUAGUCUGACAAAGCUAGGUGCUAAGAAAGAACAGCUUUGAAGUGCAAUAGUUAUUGAUGCACAUGUCAUGUCUCUGAAGAUAACUUCCAACAAGGCCCUAAAUACACUUCCAAUAUGCCUGAGAUGAUUUCAGUCAAAUUUAAGUGCAGGUAGGCUAUCCAAUGUUCAAUGCAUGUGUUAAGUGCUUUGAGGCACCUUAGGCUUAGCUUUGUUCUUUCUUAAAGUUGUCGAACUAUAGCAAUAGUCUCCAGUGCUCCCCUCGCCUAUAUCAGUUGUCUACCCCUGUACUCCUGACUCCCUCUGUCUUUCAUUCAUCCAGGUUACGCCAAUGUUCUGCGCAUACAGUUGCUGCUUUUUGGUGCGCACACACCCCAGGCACUCCAUCUCGUCAACGCCUGAGAAGUUGGUGAAAGCGCCUCCUGCCAGACUUGCUGGAUGGCUACUACCUGCACUUGCUAGCUGAACGGAAGCUCUUCCAACUAGCUGGCAUGGCUCUCGGCAGCUUGGCUUACGCGUGGGACGCUGCAGACGCAAUCAUCGCCAGCCUCACACAUGUCGAAAAUCAGGCAAACUACAUCAGCUGCUCACUGGUAUGGGCCAAAGAAGGCUCGUUGCUGGCGGUGGUUCUGGAGACAACGGUUCGAUCCAUCUGUAGGACGUCACUCGGCAAGAAGUUGUGGAGUGUGAUGGUCAUCCACGCGGCGCGCGUAUCCAGUCACGUUGUCCAGAAACGAUCACAUUAUCUCCAGGUCACUCCGUGACUUGCCGGCGCUCGAGCUGACGGUGUCGCCCGAACGAAGGCUUCACGGCGACAAGUGCUGCCACCGCCUAAGACCAUCCGACUCCGAAAUGCUGAUUGCCGGGCACGAACAAGAGGCUACAGGCAUUUGGGUGCAACACCUGCUCCGAGUGCCCUGUUCUGAGGCGUCAUCCGAAGAAGGCCGCAUAGUGCACUUAAGGCUGUGUUCGGGUGUUAGUGCACUGCACUGUCGGAUAUGAUCAAAUGGCAGGCCCGUCAUAAGAUCUCAGUACGAAAUUAAGAUAGUCAGAGCCGACGUGAUCGGUGGAUAGUGUGCCAGGGUUGAUUGAGCGUCCAUGGGCGUGAGACACCUGGAUCUGUGAAGGAUACGCCGAUACGUGUCCCGGAUUCGACAUCCCUCCCCCUCCGUCUCAACGGUGUUGGCUGAGAUUGGGGUAUUUUUACGGACUCGCCAAUGUCCUGUAAUUUCUGUUAUGUAAUUUGACGAUCAUGCCGUGGUCUCAUUCUGUCUCGAUAUGCUAAUAAAUGAUAAAUGUAACAGAGGCUGGAAGUAAGGUGUGAGUGGCUGUAACCGGCAGGUUUUGGCGAGCGUGAUAUUUGUAUCGUGAGGGCGCUAGCUGCAAUCAAUCGCGCGUUUUUGCUGAGCAUCCGUGAGCGAGAAAAUGCCUUCUCUGGAACCUAGCAGUACAGCGUGAAAUCUGUGUAUCUUUGGAUUAUGCUAGCAUAACGUAAUGUAUUUUUGGUGUCCACUGCAGCUUCGGAACAGAAAUAUGGAGAUUGGCUGUUUGCUGAAGCAAGGGUAAGCAAUCCGUGCCAAGAAUAAAAAACUAUGUGA